GACGAACGCUGGCGGCGUGCCUAAUACAUGCAAGUAGAACGCUGAAGAGCGGAGCUUGCUCUUCUUGGAUGAGUUGCGAACGGGUGAGUAACGCGUAGGUCACCUGCCUUAUAGCGGGGGAAAACUAGUGGAAACGAUAGCUAAUACCACAUAACAACGGGUGACACAUGGCAGUUAUUUGAAAGGGGCAAUUGCUCCACUAACAGAUGGACCUGCGUUGUAUUAGCUAGUAGGUGAGGUAAUGGCUCACCUAGGCGAGGUUACAUAGCCGACCUGAGAGGGCGGUCAGCCACACUGGGACGGUGACACGGCCCAGUCGCCUUCGGGUGGCAGCCGUAGUCCAUCGUCAGCCAGGGGGGCAAACUUGUCCGAGCUACGCCGCGUGCGUGUAGAAGGUCUUCGGAUCGGAAAUCUCGGUUGUCGGGCAAGAACCGGUGUGAGAGUGGAAAGUUCACACAGUGACGGUAACGGACCAGAAAGGGCCGGCUAACUACGUG
rnacentral:rRNA from 1 species